rnacentral:rRNA from 1 species
UUCUGUACCGCCAAUAAGCGUUUGAGAGAUGGAGUGACACAGUAGGAUAAGCUAACCGUACUGUUGGUUAUGUACGGCUAAGCAUUGAGGCAGUCUAAAUAGGCAAAUCCGUUUGGACAAUGCUAGGAUGUGAUGGGGAAGCCCUCCGGGGCGAAGUAGCUGAUUUCACACUGUCAAGAAAAGCUUCUAUCGAGUUUAAAGGCGCCCGUACCGUAAACCGACACAGGUGGGUGAGGAGAGUAUCCUAAGGCCAGCGAGAGAACUAUUGUUAAGGAACUCGGCAAAAUGACCCCGUAACUUAGGGAGAAGGGGUGCCUGUCUAUGACGGGCCGCAGAGAAUAGGCCCAAGCGACUGUUUACCAAAAACACAGGUUUCUGCUAAGUCGCAAGACGAUGUAUAGGAGCUGACGCCUGCCCGGUGCUGGAAGGUUAAGGGGAUCUGUUAGAGCAAUCGAAGCAGUGAACUUAAGCCCCAGUAAACGGCGGCCGUAACGAUAACGGUCCUAAGGUAGCGAAAUUCCUUGUCGGGUAAGUUCCGACCCGCACGAAAGGCGUAACGAUUUGGGCACUGUCUCAACAAUAGACUCGGUGAAAUUGUAAUCCCGGUGAAGAUGCCGGGUACCUGCGACAGGACGGAAAGACCCCAUGGAGCUUUACUGUAGCUUGACGUUGGGUCUUGGUACUACAUGUACAGGAUAGGUGGGAGACUAUGAAGCAUGGACGCCAGUCUGUGUGGAGUCAUCCUUGGGAUACCACCCUUGUAGUACUGGGAUCCUAACCAUAGGCCUCGAAUCAGGUCUUGGAACACCGUCAGGUGGGCAGUUUGACUGGGGCGGUCGCCUCCUAAAAAGUAACGGAGGCGCUCAAAGGUUUCCUCAGCACGGUCGGAAAUCGUGCGAAGAGUGUAAAGGCAAAAGGAAGCCUGAUUGCAAGACAUACAGGUCGAGCAAGGACGAAAGUCGGACUUAGCGAUCCGGUGGUACCGCAUGGAAGGGCCAUCGCUCAACGGAUAAAAGCUACCCUGGGGAUAACAGGCUUAUCUCCCCCAAGAGUCCACAUCGACGGGGAGGUUUGGCACCUCGAUGUCGGCUCAUCACAUCCUGGGGCUGUAGUAGGUCCCAAGGGUUGGGCUGUUCGCCCAUUAAAGUGGUACGCGAGCUGGGUUCAGAACGUCGUGAGACAGUUCGGUCCCUAUCCGUCGCAGGCGUAGGAAAUUUGAGAAGACCUGUCCUUAGUACGAGAGGACCGGGAUGGACGUACCUCUGGUGUACCAGUUGUUCUGCCAAGGGCAUGGCUGGGUAGCUAUGUACGGAAUGGAUAAGCGCUGAAAGCAUCUAAGCGCGAAGCCAACUUCAAGAUAAGAUUUCCCACC